CCAAGGCUCUGAAGUGACGCCUGGGGCCAGGCAGGCACCUGGUCCUGUAUUAGCCUCAGCUCAGGAAUGUGUCUCACCACUGCCCUGGCAUGUGACAGGCAGAUGUGCUGAGGCCAGAUGUCCAUUUUUCCUUAUUUCCACUGAAGGCUGAUAUCUGUAUUUGUAAGAGGUAAAUUCCAGAUUGUAUACAUUAUCAGAGUGGAUUUUGGUAAGACAAUCAGUACGCGCAAGGAAACAUUCCUGAAAAGAAAAUGUCGUAGAUCCAUUAUGGUUACAUGAUAAAGCUAUCAGGAGCUUAUCAUUUAAAGACUACCACCGUGAAGCAUUUGGUCACAGGGGGAAAAUGUCAUGUAAAUAUUUCACACAAAUAUACACAGAAUCCUCUCUAUCACAGCUCCUUAUCGAACCAGGCUGGGAAGAACCGGGAGUGCCUGGUGUGCUCUCCGUUGUCAACUCUCCAGCUUCUACAUCCAUACAGACAGACUACACGGUGAAAGGAAUCCAUGCACACCCUGAUCCUCUUUCAGCAUCCUCCAAAGCCUCCAGAGUGGACAGAUUACUACAUAAUUGAUGUGAUUAAUUUGUUUCAAUGAGUGAAAUGACAGUUGUUUCCAGCAGCUCAGUGAUCGGAACACCAGGCCUGGUUUCACUCCCUAGGGUUCCAAAUUGUUUUCAGUUACAAGAGAGAAAUGAUUGAUGAUCUGAUAUCAAUGGGAUGGAUGCACUGGAGCUGUCAUCUGAGGGUCCUUUUCAGUUCUGGAAGAGCCAGGUCCUAAGUGAAUGGGGAGUCUCAACCUGCAGUCUCAACCUUUCCACAAGAGUCCCAGGUUCCUGCUAUGUGUCAACAGCUACACAGAGCUUGCUGAUUCCUAGUCAACCAGCUACAUAGAUUUCUCUGUUACUACUGAAAUUGAUCAUUUUUCAUGUUUAUUGGUCAUACGAAUUUCCUCAUCUAUGGACCAAACCCUUUCAGUUCUCAGGGAGGUGAACUUCCCUGUACUCAACCAAAGUGGGCCUCUUGUGCAGAGCAGAGCGGGUCACGGCCCAAGCACUGUGAUCCAGACUUUGAGAAUGUCCUCAGACCUUUGAAGACUCAGAAACGUACAGAUUAUAAAGCUGGAAGUGACCUCAAGAGAUGACCUCACCCAGCCAUCUGCCUUUGUCAGCUGUCAGACAUUAUCUCAAUUUUGAGGAUGAGGGCUGCAGAGAUGGCUCAGCAUUAACAGGACAAGCUGUUCUUCUAAAGAACCAGGUUUGAUUUCCAGAACAUACACGAUGGCUCACAACUGUCUGGAACUCCAGUUCCAGAGGAUCUGACAAACAG